CUCCUGGAAACGGGUGGUAAUGCCGGAUGCUCCGCCCCCUCGCAUGGGGGGUCGGGAAGGCUUUUGCGGAAUGGGAUGGGGUCGCGUCCUAUCAGCUUGUUGGCGGGGCGACGGCCCACCAAGGCUUCGACGGGUAGCCGGCCUGAGAGGGCGACCGGCCACAUUGGGACUGAGAUACGGCCCAGACUCCUACGGGAGGCAGCAGUGGGGAAUAUUGCACAAUGGGGGGAACCCUGAUGCAGCGACGCCGCGUGCGGGAUGGAGGCCUUCGGGUCGUGAACCGCUUUUGAUUGGGAGCAAGCGUGAGUGAGUGUACCUUUCGAAUAAGCACCGGCUAACUACGUGCCAGCAGCCGCGGUAAUACGUAGGGUGCAAGCGUUGUCCGGAAUCAUUGGGCGUAAAGGGCUCGUAGGCGGUUCGUCGCGUCCGGUGUGAAAGCCCAUCGCUUAACGGUGGGUCUGCGCCGGGUACGGGCGAGCUUGAGUGCGGCAGGGGAGGCUGGAAUUCCCGGUGUAACGGUGGAAUGUGUAGAUAUCGGGAAGAACACC
rnacentral:rRNA from 1 species